rnacentral:rRNA from 1 species
CCUACGGGUGGCAGCAGUGGGGAAUAUUGGACAAUGGGGGGAACCCUGAUCCAGCCAUGCCGCGGGUGUGAAGAAGGCCCUCGGGUUGUAAAGCACUUUCAGUGAGGAAGAACGCCUGGUGGUUAAUACCCAUCAGGAAAGACAUCACUCACAGAAGAAGCACCGGCUAACUCCGUGCCAGCAGCCGCGGUAAUACGGAGGGUGCGAGCGUUAAUCGGAAUUACUGGGCGUAAAGCGCGCGUAGGUGGCUUGAUAAGCCGGUUGUGAAAGCCCCGGGCUCAACCUGGGAACGGCAUCCGGAACUGUCAAGCUAGAGUGCAGGAGAGGAAGGUAGAAUUCCCGGUGUAGCGGUGAAAUGCGUAGAGAUCGGGAGGAAUACCAGUGGCGAAGGCGGCCUUCUGGACUGACACUGACACUGAGGUGCGAAAGCGUGGGUAGCAAACAGGAUUAGAUACCCUUGUAGUC